CAGUGCCCACUUUGUUCAUCUCUGCUCACUGGGGGAGCCAGGACACGGAUCCAGGUUUUCUGACUCCAGGUCUCAGGCUUGCUCCAUAGCGCCACCUGCUGGUGACGGCAAUCGGUAGGCACCCAAAUCAAGACUCAGAUUUCCUCAUCUCAGAAGUUGUCCACUUCUUCUCCGACCUCCACGGUAACUCGGAACCACACCGUGGAGUUAUCCCUGUGUCCUCUUUCUCGGAAGUUCCACAUCCAACCCCUCAGCAGGUCUCAGCGGCACUCUCACCACCUCCUCUGCUCUGUUCCUGUUUCUCUUGGAUGGUCGAAUGUUUCCUAAGGAGUGUCUGCUGCUUCACGCUUGCCCCCUGGAGUGGCAUCUAAAAGGUGCAGGAUACCCUACAACUAACAGGCAUGAUGCCAUCAAGACAUCUUGAGCCUGGCUACCUCCCGUGGCCUGUAUUUUGUCCACAGGAAACUCGCGCAGUCUCACUACAGCAAAUUGAGGUGGUAUGGGGUGCCUGCUGCUGCCUCUCUCUUCACCUUUCCACAGAGGGCUGCCCCAGCCUGACUCCCACUUCCAGAGUUUCUCCAGCCAGGAGAAUCCUGAAAUCUCUGUAAAUAAGCAAUCCAGGAGCCAGAGAAUCAUGGGAUCUCAUAUAAACAAAUCAUCAAGGAAAAACACAGCCAGAGUCUCCAUUUGGUAAACCUCCGUGACUGGGGAUCCCCGGCCACCCAGAAAGCAGUAUUGCCUGCCAUGCAUGUCAUCACUGAUUUUUACUGCUGCAGCAGACUCCGUCAGACCUGCCUGCUGCUUCAGCGAAUUGUUCAGUGCACACCACCAGCUACCUGCUGUAAGCAUUCACACUCCUCUACCUGCCUGGCAGCAUUUCUCAGCUGAACACAGGCCAGGCCAGAAGUGCCAGGGAUUUAAUGCCCUUAGAAGUAGCUCUCUACCAAUGACAAAUGGAGCUGGUGGAUACAUUCUCAGCUUCCUCCCCUCUCAGGUGGAACAGCCCUGAGAUGUGCUCUAUGCAAUCUCCCACAAGUCCCCAGCAGGCUCAAGCUCCCAUUGUCCAACCCUGGUAACCUGCUCAUUGACACCCCUGUCUUGCCUUCCCUUCCUGGCCUCACUUUCUCACUCUCUUACUGUUGCCUCCUGAGAUCGCAUCCAAAAUAAAUGACCUGCACCCA
rnacentral:lncRNA from 1 species